UGUAACAAGGUCUCCGUUGGUGAACCAGCGGAGGGAUCAUUACCGAGUUUUCAACUCCCUAACCCUUCUGUGAACCUACCUAUCGUUGCUUCGGCGGACUCGCCCCAGCCCGGACGCGGACUGGACCAGCGGCCCGCCGGGGACCUCAAACUCUUGUAUUCCAGCAUCUUCUGAAUACGCCGCAAGGCAAAACAAAUGAAUCAAAACUUUCAACAACGGAUCUCUUGGCUCUGGCAUCGAUGAAGAACGCAGCGAAACGCGAUAAGUAAUGUGAAUUGCAGAAUCCAGUGAAUCAUCGAAUCUUUGAACGCACAUUGCGCCCGCCAGCAUUCUGGCGGGCAUGCCUGUUCGAGCGUCAUUUCAACCCUCGACCUCCCCUUGGGGAGGUCGGCGUUGGGGACCGGCAGCACACCGCCGGCCCUGAAAUGGAGUGGCGGCCCGUCCGCGGCGACCUCUGCGCAGUAAUACAGCUCGCACCGGAACCCCGACGCGGCCACGCCGUAAAACACCCAACUUCUGAACGUUGACCUCGAAUCAGGUAGGACUACCCGCUGAACUUAAGCAUAUC
rnacentral:rRNA from 1 species